rnacentral:rRNA from 1 species
GAUGAACGCUAGCUACAGGCUUAACACAUGCAAGUCGAGGGACCGGCGCACGGGUGAGUAAAGCGUAUCAAACCUACCCAAUACUCAGGCAUAGCCAGUUGAAAGACGGACUAAUUCCUGAUGGUAUUGGCUGGGGAUGCGUCUGAUUAGUUUGUUGGUGAGGUAACGGGUAACCAAGACUUCGAUCAGUCGGGGUUCGGAGAGGAAGGUCCCCCACAUUGGAACUGAGACACGGUCCAAACUCCUACGCGAGGCAGCAGUGAGUAAUAUUGGGCAAUGGAUGCAAAUCUGAACCAGCCAAGUAGCGUGCAGGAUGACGGCCUAUGGGUUGUAAACUGCUUUUAUGUGAGAAUAUGUAUCACAUGAAUAAGGACCGGCUAAUUCCGUGCCAGUCGCCGCGGUAAUUC